UAAAUAAAAUCCGUUAUGUCGCUUUUGUGAUUUUCGGAAUUGGGUUAUCUUAACCUUUUAAGCUAAGAAACCUGAAAUUGAUGUUUUUGUGCAUCCUAGACGUGUAUAAUUUUUAUUUAUCCGUUUUCGAUGACAAGUUUCUAUUAGGUAUGGUCAUAUUGUUUGGUCUCAUACCUAUAAUUCAUCAUA
rnacentral:misc_RNA from 1 species